rnacentral:tRNA from 1 species
AGGUUGUAAGGAAAAAUG